GACGAACGCUGGUGGCGUGCCUAAUACAUGCAAGUCGAGCGCAGGAAACCGUCUGAACCCUUCGGGGGGACGACGGCGGAAUGAGCGGCGGACGGGUGAGUAACACGUAAAGAACCUGCCCACGGGUCUGGGAUAACCACGAGAAAUCGGGGCUAAUACCGGACGGGUCAUCGGACCGCAUGGUCCGAGGAUGAAAGGCGCUCCGGCGUCGCCCGUGGAUGGCUUUGCGGUGCAUUAGCUCGUUGGUGGGGUAACGGCCCACCAAGGCGACGAUGCAUAGCCGACCGGAGAGGGUGAGCGGCCACACUGGGACUGAGACACGGCCCAGACUCCUACGGGAGGCAGCAGUAGGGAAUCUUCCACAAUGGACGAAAGUCUGAUGGAGCAACGCCGCGUGAACGAUGAAGGCCCUCGGGUCGUAAAGUUCUGUUGUAAGGGAAGAACAAGUGCCGCAGGCAAUGGCGGCACCUUGACGGUACCUUGCGAGAAAGCCACGGCUAACUACGUGCCAGCCGCCGCAGUAAUAC
rnacentral:rRNA from 1 species